GCCGAAAGGCAAGAGUGCCCGCAAGGGAGCGCGGAGACAGGUGGUGCAUGGCUGUCGUCAGCUCGUGUCGUGAGAUGUUGGGUUAAGUUCCGCAACGAGCGCAAUCCUCACCCCUUGUUGCCACCAGGUUAUGUUGGGUACUCUAGGGGAACUGUUUUGGUCAACGGGGAGGAAGGUGGGGACGACGUCAAGUCAUCAUGUUCCUUACGUCCUGGGCUAUACACGUGCUACAAUGGCCGGUACAGAGGGAUGCAAGACCGCGAGGUGGAGCUAAACCCAAAAAGUCGGUCUAAGUUCAGAUUGGAGUCUGCAACUCGACUCUAUGAAGGAGGAAUCGCUAGUAAUCGCGUAUCAGCACGACGCGGUGAAUACGUUCCCGGGCCUUGUACACACCGCCUGUCAUACCACGAAAGCCAGUUGUACUCGAAGUCGCUGAG
rnacentral:rRNA from 1 species